AACCUCCUUCCCCACCUCAAGCAGGAGCUAGCACAUAGAUUUUUUGGACCUCUCCUCCUAGAUGCUACCAUUCAGCUAUGGUUUUCCAAUCACCCUUUGAGGGCAGGACUUUUAUUCUGAUUUUUACAUGUAAGGAUCUGAGGCGUGGAGGAAACGUAGCACAGCAAAGAUAAUGUGAAAUGUUGCCAGAACCAGCAGUUGAAUGCUGAUUUUCUUGGAAAGGGGGGUGCAUGGCACCUUGCAGGAGAAGAUCUUUUGGCAGCACCUCACUGACUGUUGGAAUUCUUGGAUGCCAAAACAGUAAUUACAAAGUCUUAAGAUUAAAAAAAUAAACAAAGAACCCCUCCUCAGAUUCACAGAUAAGUACUGUAAGUGGCUGGAUGGUAAUUGCACGUUAUAUUUGGAACACGAUUUUUCUACUGGAGAUCAUCCAUAACAGAGACAUAAGUUUUCAGCUGAGCCUAUAAGUUUCUGAAAUGUACGUUUUGCCUCUUAGUAAAUCAUGAAAUACCCAAGGGAUUGUAAUGGGAUUCCAUGCUGAAGUCGUGUUACUGUGGACACUGAGGAACCUGAGGAUGAAACACUGACUAAUGAAGUCCCUUCUGAGCACUGCAGAAGUUGUUGAAUUUGCCCAGUGGUCUGUGCUGGACUGCACAGCUUAGCUCUGCAUGGAGGGAAGCUGCUGUGGUCCACGUGGUUGUCCUCCUGUCCUAGGGCAAAACAGUUACUAGUUAGUUCAGAUCCGUUUAUGACAAAUUUCUACUGCUUAUUUUCACAAGGCUCAGUAAAGGCAAUCCCCAUACCAUCAGUCAGUUCAGGCCUCCUUGCCUUCGUCAUCUCUUUGGGUAAUUUUCCUUAUUCUUUUCUGCUGGAGGACACUGAGGAGUCUGGAAGAGACCAAAGAUGAAGAUUUUUGUCACUCUGACCCCUCGAGAAAGUCACCUGCCUGAUACAAAGCAGCAGUGUGGACAGUUACGAUUUUUCAUGUGAAAUAAACGUAAUAGUAAAAAAAAAAAAAAAAAAAAAAGAAAAGUUUUAUUCUUCACCCAUAAAGAGUGACUAACUAGGAGAAGGGCAUGGCAGGGUAAUCCUGUAAUCCUCUCCAGAUUUCUACUAGGAGACGUUUUGUCCUAAAUAUCAGCACAGUCAUAGAAAUAAUGCAGAGUAAUCAGUCUCAUCUUCCCCCAGCCCCCAUCCUUGCUCCUGGCUAUUAGCAAAUUAACAAAAUUUUCCCAAGCUUUUGCAUGAGACUUACUGUGUCAUUACUUAAAAAAAAAAAAAAAAAAAAAGGGCUGAUCUCUGCCUCACUUCCUUAUCAUUCUCUAUCUUCGCCCCCUUUGUUAUUACCAAUGAGUCAUACUUCACCUUUUCCUUAGUCUACAUCUCCCACAUUCACUCCUCUGCUGGUUUUCCUGCCACCCCUCACUCCUGGAAUGAAUUCUCUGCUCCUUUGCAUGAGAAAUUUCUGUUUCCAAAACUAUAUUUUAAGUUCACAUCUUAUGCCAGGUUGCAUCCUGUUGUCCCAGGAAUAAAGAUGGUCCUAAUUUCCUCCCUGCCUGAGCACCACUGAUAAAAAAAUAUCAGUGUUCUCCUUUUUUUUGUUAUUUCCUAACAGUUCAGUACCAUGCUUCCUGACAAGCCAUUGGUAAAGGUGUGUUUGUGCUGAUUAUGAGAAAAAAAAAAAAAAAAAAAAAAGAUUUGGCAAUUUAUA